rnacentral:rRNA from 1 species
GACGAACGCUGGCGGCGUGCCUAAUACAUGCAAGUAGAACGCUGAAGAGAGGAGCUUGCUCUUCUUGGAUGAGUUGCGAACGGGUGAGUAACGCGUAGGUAACCUGCCUGGUAGCGGGGGAUAACUAUUGGAAACGAUAGCUAAUACCGCAUAAAAUUGAUUAUUGCAUGAUAAUUAAUUGAAAGAUGCAAUUGCAUCACUACCAGAUGGACCUGCGUUGUAUUAGCUAGUUGGUGAGGUAACGGCUCACCAAGGCGACGAUACAUAGCCGACCUGAGAGGGUGAUCGGCCACACUGGGACUGAGACACGGCCCAGACUCCUACGGGAGGCAGCAGUAGGGAAUCUUCGGCAAUGGGGGGAACCCUGACCGAGCAACGCCGCGUGAGUGAAGAAGGUUUUCGGAUCGUAAAGCUCUGUUGUAAGAGAAGAACGAGUGUGAGAGUGGAAAGUUCACA